GUGGGGAAUAUUGCGCAAUGGGCGGAAGCCUGACGCAGCGACGCCGCGUGGGGGAUGACGGCCUUCGGGUUGUAAACCUCUUUCAGCAGGGACGAAGUUGACGUGUACCUGCAGAAGAAGCGCCGGCUAACUACGUGCCAGCAGCCGCGGUAAUACGUAGGGCGCAAGCGUUGUCCGGAAUUAUUGGGCGUAAAGAGCUCGUAGGUGGCUGGUCGCGUCUGCCGUGAAAGCCCGCAGCUUAACUGCGGGUCUGCGGUGGAUACGGGCCGGCUAGAGGUAGGUAGGGGCAAGUGGAAUUCCUGGUGUAGCGGUGAAAUGCGCAGAUAUCAGGAGGAACACCGGUGGCGAAGGCGGCUUGCUGGGCCUUACCUGACGCUGAGGAGCGAAAGCGUGGGGAGCGAACAGGAUUAGAUACCCUUGUAGUCC
rnacentral:rRNA from 1 species